AACGCUGGCGGCGCGCUUAACACAUGCAAGUCGAGCGAGAACCAUUCCUUCGGGAAUGGGGACAGCGGCGAACGGGUGAGUAACACGUGGGUAAUCUGCCCUCGAUUCUGGGAUAGCCCGGGGAAACCCGGAUUAAUACCGGAUAGCCUCUCGAGCUUACGAGCUCGUGAGAAAAGGUAGCUUCGGCCUCCGAUCGAGGAUGAGCCCGCGGCGGAUUAGCUUGUUGGUGGGGUAAUGGCCUACCAAGGCGACGAUCCGUAGCUGGUCUGAGAGGACGAUCAGGCACACUGGGACUAAGACACGGCCCAGACUCCUACGGGAGGCAGCAGUGGGGAAUCUUGCGCAAUGGGCGAAAGCCUGACGCAGCGACGCCGCGUGGGGGAAGAAGGCCUUCGGGUUGUAAACCUCUUUCAGCAGGGACGAAGCCACUCGGGUGAAUAGCCCAGAGGGUGACGGUACCUGCAGAAGAAGCCCCGGCUAACUACGUGCCAGCCGCCGCUGUAACAC
rnacentral:rRNA from 1 species